UACAGAGGUCCCAAGCGUUGUUCGGAUUCACUGGGCGUAAAGGGUGCGUAGGUGGUGGGGUAAGUUUGAUGUGAAAGCUCCGGGCUUAACCCGGAAAUGGCAUUGAAUACUAUCUCGCUUGAGGGGUUGGAGGGGAGACUGGAAUUCUUUGGUGUAGCAGUGAAAAUGCGUAGAUAUCAAGAGGAACACCAGUGGCGAAGGCGAGUCUCUGGACAACUCCUGACACUGAGGCACGAAAGCCAGGGGGAGCGAACGGG
rnacentral:rRNA from 1 species